CAGUUAAAUAUAUGUUAUGGGUAGGAAUUACUCUAUGACAGUAGGGCACCACAUUUCUUUAUGCUUUGUAUCUAAUGUUUAAUCCCUCUUAGCACCUACUUACCAAGAUUAAUGAAAAGUCAAGCCUUAAUUUUUUUUUCAGGACUCUCCCUAAUACUGUGGGAUCAUAGGAGAAUCCUGAGACAUACCCAGGAAACUGAAGAAGGGGAACUGAAAUGUUUGUCAAAGGAAGCCAGAAGAAUAGAUGAGAAACAAGGUCGGGGGCGGAAACAGAGACAAAGAAGUUUGGCAAGAAGCACAGCGGUUUAUAUACUGUGCUGUUCUGUGAUUCAUUUUACACUGACUUACCAUGUGAAGACAAUGAGUGCCACUCUGGCAAAGGGUUUGCCAAGCAAGGAUGUCAACUGGGUUUCAGAAUCCUCUAACUUACUAGACUAA
rnacentral:lncRNA from 1 species